rnacentral:rRNA from 1 species
ACGUAGGGUGCGAGCGUUAAUCGGAAUUACUGGGCGUAAAGCGUGCGCAGGCGGUGAUGUAGGACCGAUGUGAAAUCCCCGGGCUCAACCCGGGAACUGCGUCCGAUACUGGAAGGCUUGAAUCCGGGAGAGGGAUGCGGAAUUCCAGGUGUAGCGGUGAAAUGCGUAGAUAUCUGGAGGAACACCGGUGGCGAAGGCGGCAUCCUGGACCGGUAUUGACGCUGAGGCGCGAAAGCCAGGGGAGCAAACGGGA